ensembl:lncRNA
AGCUUCCAGGUGGGUACCCGUCAAGAGGUCUCCAUCGCCACCUAAAACUGGGCAGUGUGAUUGCAGUACAGACCACCUGGAACGCCCCCUAAGGGCUGGACAGAGCCUGCCAGCCCUUUGGGUGCGUUCCUCCUCAGGUGUGUGUAUUGCAGUCUCCUGUCCUGAUAAUCAGCCUGCCCGGAGAAGUGUUUUACCUUCUUAGGAAGCUUCUUGAUGAUACAUUACAUGACCAAAAAUAUGUGGACACCUGCACGUCCAACAUCUCAUUCCAAGAUCAUGGGCUUUAAUAUGGAGUUGGACCCCCCUUUGCUGCUAUAACAGCCUCCACUCUUCUGGGAAGGCAUUAAUAUGGAGUUGGAACUCUGUCGUGAGUUCUGGAACUUUCCACUUCACAAUAGAGGCAAUUACAGUUGACCCG